GGUCUCAUAGUUCAGUGGAAGAACGCCGCGUUGUCAGCGCGGAGGUCAGGGGUUCAAUCCCCUUGGGACCGCCA
rnacentral:tRNA from 1 species